rnacentral:lncRNA from 1 species
AUUUCUGUUGGCCAAAGAAAACCAAUUACAUCUGCCGUCCACCACCUGCUUCAGCUACUGGUUUGUCACGGUACCUUCUUUGAAAGCCUGCCUUACAGAUUCCAUGAAAUCCGCGACCCUGCAGUGGUAGAUCCUGGUGAAUCGGUUUCGACUUGUUGAGAUUUGUCUCAAUCUUCAUGGGUAUGUAUGGUUGAUUCGGUUUUGUGUUAAAUGAUAAAUGAGGUCGAUGUCCUUUAAUCUACAGUUUAUAUAUAUUUAAGGUCGGGGAAUAGUAUUCAAUUACUUGAAAUCUUGGCUAUUUUCAUUUAAUCUAUAGUUAUCUAUAUUUAAGGCCACUUUCCUUGUACAAGUGGGGUUUGAUAAAUUUGGAAUUCUGUUUUUGUUUCAGUAAUAUCAGCAAUAUUGACACUGCUUUUUUGGUCUGUUUAGUAAUCCAUACUGAACUUUAUGUCAUUGGAAACCAUUGCAAAUUUAAGCAAUGUAUAUUUCCACUCAAGUUCAGGUCAACAGAAAAUAACAAAGCUAAGGGGUUUUACCUAUGUUUUCUAGCUGAAGUUGGCCACGGUGUGAAUUGAGGGUUCAUAGAUAGUGUUGUAACAAUUAGUGCAAAGUAAGAUUGCACAUUAAGAGGCUUCCCCUAACAACAUAGAGAAGGAUAGUCUAUAGAAGCUAAAAAGACUCAAUACUUGCUUGCUCUGUAUGAAAUCCCCGACCCUGUAGUGGUAGAACCUGGUGAAUCGGUUUCGACUUGUUGAGAUUUGUCUCAAUCUUCAUGGGUAUGUUGGUUGAUUCGGUUUUGUUUUAUUUUUGUUUUUUU